rnacentral:rRNA from 1 species
UACAGGGGGGGCAAGCGUUGUUCGGAAUUACUGGGCGUAAAGGGCCAGUAGGCGGCCAACUAAGUCCGACGUGAAAUCCCCAGGCUUAACCUGGGAACUGCGUCGGAUACUGGAUGGCUUGAAUUCGGGAGAGGGAUGCAGAAUUCCAGGUGUAGCGGUGAAAUGCGUAGAUAUCUGGAGGAACACCGGUGGCGAAGGCGGCGUUCUGGACUGCAACUGACACUGAAAAACGAAAGCCAGGGGAGCAAACGGG